GCCUGAACUCGGCAGGCCCCAGCAAGCCAGGAAGGAGGCUGGCAGAGCUCCCUGCAGCAGACCCUCCUUGCAGCAGAGUAGACCAUCCAGCACAGCUUUUGCAGUAAGGCAUCUGAUAAUUCCACUCAUAUGGUCUAUUGCUUUGCUGCUGGCUGUGAGAAGCAUGUUGGAAGCAUCACUUUCAGUAAGCAGUUGGCCAAAAUGCCAAAAAAAGAAAAGAAAAAAGACUGAGGCUGCGACAAGAUGCAGCAAAUUUCCCACUGCAAUCCUGUGGACAGCUGAGGCCUUCUGAAUUAUGGAGGCAAUGCUCCUGAAAAAUGCACUUGAAGCUUGAUGUGGAUUACAGUCUUAUAAGGAGUGGGGGAAAGGUACCGGAACUGAUGUUUGACAACUCCUUGCGGGAGAGGGGUGCAAUUGUAAUGAAAAUCAUUGAUUCCAUUAUUUCAUCGUUAAUGAAAAUGAAAAUUAUUAAUAUAUUCCUGAUGACCUGCAGAUAUCACAUUUUGCAUGGACAAUCUGCCCCUUAUAUUAUAUGAAAGCAGUACUUUUUACACCAGAAUAUGCUCAGGGAAAGGUAGAUAUAGAUAUAGAUAUCUUGCAUUUUGAGCAAAUAUUCUGAAUAUAAUGAUAUUUUUAACUGUUAUUUUUCUCAGCAGAUUUUUCUCAAUAAUCAGAUCAAUUCCAGAACAUGCCCAAGAAAAGCAAAACCUCUCUUCCCCUCUCCCUUUUCCUCCCUCCCCACUCCUCCUCCCUCCUCUUUCACUCUUCCUUUUUCCCUCUUCCUCCCCUCUUUCCCUCCCUUGCCCUCCACUCACUUAUGCCCGGAGAAGAUGCCCCAUGAGGCCUUCAGUCUCUCCCCUCUUUCUCUCCUGGGCAAGUGCUUUGUGUGCUGAAGAGCCAGCCGUGUUGCAGCGGGAAGGAGUGUGUCAGUGGUGGGAGGAAGGAAGCAAGAAGCUGCACACAGUAAGAAAUGCUUCUGCUUCAGUGUGUGGUGUGGGAGGGACAGAAAUACUAGUGCUGGGAGGAAGGGAGGAACCAACUAAGUUUGAGAGAAAUAUGUCUGGUGGGGAAGGGAAGAAAUGUGGUGGUGGCUUGUCGCAGCAGAAAAAAAGUGCCAGAAUUUUGUUCCAGUCUGUUUCCACAGGAAAAUAAAGCCCUGACCAAUGGAUUGCUAAGUUCUAAAAAGUUCCAGAUUGUUGUUCCAGGAACCAGAGGUAAUGGCAGAAGUCUGAGAGUCCAGAUUACAGCUCAUCUUCAUUCAUAAAAAAACACAAGGCUACAUGAGGAGGGGAGUGAGAGAUGUAAAGGGCAAGGUUAUCAGGAAAGUAGGGAUGUGCAAAUGGAUUAGAAUUUAAACUGGUUUGAAUUCAAACCGGUUUGGUUUGAAGGUUUGAACUCGAACCAAACGGGGCAUUGAACUGGCAAUGCCGGUCUGAGUUAGAACCAAACAGAGCCUGUUUCUAUUUGAACUGGUUUGAACCAGUUUGAGCCUCCAAAACUGGGUUGGGUGGUAGGCACCCAUGGGUUCCAACUACCACCCAAACCGCAAAGCAAUCGGAGACUCCUGUGAUUUUUUGUGAAUUCUUGAA